UCGUUCCUGGGAAGACAUGGAUAAGUAUCUACAACCAGGAAAGGAUAGUGAGACCCCACCACCACCACCCAGGGCAAAGAGACAGGAAAUGGUCUGAGGAGAGCAGGGCCAGCCAGCCACUGAAGGAGUUCCCUCUGUGGGUCUCAACUGACUAUUCUUAGAGGCAGGUGGUUGUACGAGGAUGGACUGAAAAUUUGCAAAAAUGUGUCUUCAUAAGCAUCUCUCUCCAGGUUGUUCUGGAAGAAACCUUUUGCAGGUGGCUGGCUGUACGUAGGUCCUGAGGGAGAACCGACUCAACCCUCUCGUCUCUUAAACGAAGGGGCCUGUGCUCUCCGUUCUGAGUAAAACCUGCUCUGAUCUCGGAGAAAGAACCCUUCUGAUGGCUUAACUGGUCCCAGGUAUCUGUUUUACAAACCAGAGAGCCUGGGAUCUCCUACGCUUGCCGGCACCCAGGCUCCCGAGGGGUCACGGUGAUGAUCUGUGGGAAAUGUGUUAGUUCUCCCUCCAUGAUGUUAUGGUAAAGCACACCGUGGACAUCAGCUCGAGAUACUACCCCAGAAAAGACCAGUGUCAUGGAUAAGAAGGAGAGGAGCCCGCCGCUCACCCCAGGUCGGCUGCCUCGGUCUCCAGGAGGAUGCUGUUGGUUUU